rnacentral:rRNA from 1 species
GAAAGUAAACAAGGGCGCAUGGAGGAUGCCUAGGCUCUCGGAGGCGAAGAAGGACGUGAUAAGCUGCGAAAAGUUACGGUAAGGCGCAAAUAGCCGUAGACCCGUAAAUAUCCGAAUGGGGCAACCCGGCCAGCAAUGGCCAUACCGCCAAGCGGUAAGCCAACGCGGGGAACUGAAACAUCUAAGUACCCGCAGGAAAAGAAAAUAACAAUGAUUCCGCCAGUAGUGGCGAGCGAACGCGGAACAGCCCAAACCACCCGUGUUACGGCACGGGUGGGGUAGAAGGAUCCACGACACGGCAAGAAAUAAGUUAGCGGAAUACGAUGGAAAUCGUAGCCAGAGACGGUGACAGCCCGGUACGCGAAAACCGACAGAAGCCCAGUGGACACCUGAGUAACCCAGGACACGAGAAAUCCGGGGCGAAUCAGCGGGGCCCAUCCCGUAAGGCUAAAUACUCCCGAGAGACCGAUAGCGAACCAGUACUGUGAAGGAAAGGUGAAAAGAACCUCGAACAGAGGAGUGAAACAGACCCUGAAACCAUGCGCCUACAAGCGGUCGGAGCAUGUUAAAGUGUGACGGCGUGCCUUUUGCAUAAUGAACCUACGAGUUACUCUCGCUGGCAAGGUUAAGCGAUUCAGUCGCGCAGCCGAAGCGAAAGCAAGUCCGAACAAGGCGUACAGUCAGCGGGAGUAGACGCGAAACCAAGUGAUCUACCCUUGGUCAGGUUGAAGGUUGGGUAACACCAACUGGAGGACCGCACCGAUAAGCGUUGAAAAGCUUACGGAUGAACUGAGGGUAGGAGUGAAAGGCCAAUCAAACUUGGAGAUAGCUCGUACUCCCCGAAAUGCAUUUAGGUGCAGCCUCGAAGUAAAGUGAUAGAGGUAGAGCGACUGAUAAGAUGCGAGGGCUUCACCGCCUAUCAAGUCUUGACAAACUCCGAAUACUAUCACUUGAUCUUCGGGAGUGAGGGCAUGGGUGCUAAGGUCCAUGUCCGAAAGAGGAACAACUCAGACCACCAGCUAAGGUCCCGAAAUAAGGGCUAAGUUGAAUAAACGAAGUAAAACUGCAAAGACAGCUAGGAUGUUGGCUUGGAAGCAGCCAUUCAUUUAAAGAGUGCGUAACAGCUCACUAGUCGAGGAGUUUUGCAUGGAUAAUAAUCGGGCAUAAGCCCUUUACCGAAGCUGUGGAUGUCGUAAGACAUGGUAGGGGAGCAUUCCGGCGGCGACGAAGGCCGUCCUCGAGGACGACUGGAGCUUUCGGAAAAGCAAAUGUAGGUAUAAGUAACGAUAAAGGGGGCGUGAAACCCCCUCGCCAUAAGACUAAGGAUUCCUGAUCAACGCUAAUCGGAUCAGGGUAAGUCGGGCCCUAAGGCGCAGCCGAACGGCGUAGCCGAUGGAAGAAACGGUAAAGAUUCCGUUACUGGAUAUAGGAGCGAUGUGGAGACGGAGAAGUGACACACCCGCCUGCCGACGGAAGCGCAGGUUAAAGGAAGUAGGUAAACGCCGGGUAGGCAAAUCCGCCUGGCGUGCCGAAGCUGACAGUAUCGAGAGCCCCCGGGCAAUCGAAUAGCGGUGGUAAUCAGGCUCCCAAGAAAAUCCGCUAAGCAUAUUCUAUAUCCACCCGUACCCCAAACGGACACACGUAGUCGGGUAGAAUAUACCAAGGCGCUCGAAAGACUCACGGUUAAGGAACUAGGCAAAUUGACCCUGUAACCUCGGGAAAAAGGGUCCCCAGUAAGAUGGGGCGCAGAGAAUAGGUCCAGGCAACUGUUUAACAAAAACACAGGGCUGUGCAAAAUUUCAAGAUGAAGUAUACAGCCUGACACCUGCCCGGUGCCGGAAGGUUAAGAGGAGAGCUAAUCGCAAGAGAAGGCUUGAAUUGAAGCCCCGGUAAACGGCGGCCGUAACUAUAACGGUCCUAAGGUAGCGAAAUUCCUUGUCGGGUAAGUUC